UACGUAGGCAGCAAGCGUUGUUCGGAAUUACUGGGCGUAAAGAGUGUGUAGGCGGUGCUCUAAGUCUGUUGUGAAAUCUCCCGGCUUAACUGGGAGGGUGCGGCGGAAACUGGAGUGCUCGAGGGUGGGAGAGGUAAGCGAAUCCUGGUGUAGCGGUGGAAUGCGCAGAUAUCAGGAGGAACACCGGUGGCGAAGGCGGUUCUCUGGGCAUUACCUGACGCUGAGGAGCGAAAGUGUGGGGAGCGAACAGG
rnacentral:rRNA from 1 species